AGAGUUUGAUCAUGGCUCAGAGCGAACGCUGGCGGCAGGCUUAACACAUGCAAGUCGAACGCCCGUAGCAAUACGGGAGUGGCAGACGGGAGAGUAACACGUGGGAACGUGCCCUUCAGUUCGGAACAACCCAGGGAAACUUGGGCUAAUACCGGAUACGUCCGAAAGGAGAAAGAUUUAUCGCUGAAGGAUCGGCCCGCGUCUGAUUAGCUAGUUGGUGAGGUAACGGCUCACCAAGGCGACGAUCAGUAGCUGGUCUGAGAGGAUGAUCAGCCUCAUUGGGACUGAGACACGGCCCAAACUCCUACGGGAGGCAGCAGUGGGGAAUCUUGGACAAUGGGCGCAAGCCUGAUCCAGCCAUGCCGCGUGGGUGAUGAAGGCCCUAGGGUUGUAAAGCCCUUUCGGCGGGGAAGAUAAUGACGGUACCCGCAGAAGAAGCCCCGGCUAACUUCGUGCCAGCAGCCGCGGUAAUACGAAGGGGGCUAGCGUUGCUCGGAAUCACUGGGCGUAAAGCGCACGUAGGCGGCUCUUUAAGUCAGGGGUGAAAUCCUGGAGCUCAACUCCAGAACUGCCUUUGAUACUGAGGAGCUUGAGUUCGGGAGAGGUGAGUGGAACUGCGAGUGUAGAGGUGAAAUUCGUAGAUAUUCGCAAGAACACCAGUGGCGAAGGCGGCUCACUGGCCCGAUACUGACGCUGAGGUGCGAAAGCGUGGGGAGCAAACAGGAUUAGAUACCCCUGUAGUCC
rnacentral:rRNA from 1 species